CCUACGGGUGGCAGCAGUGAGGAAUAUUGGUCAAUGGCCGUGAGCCUGAACCAGCCAAGUCGCGUGAGGGAUGACGGUUCUAUGGGUCGUAAACCUCUUUUGUCGGGGAGUAAAGUGUGGCACGUGUCCUUUUUUGUGUGUACCUUAUGAAUAAGGAUCGGCUAACUCCGUGCCAGCAGCCGCGGUAAUACGGAGGAUCCGAGCGUUAUCCGGAUUUAUUGGGUUUAAAGGGUGCGUAGGCGGCCUUUGAAGUCAGCGGUGAAAGUCUGUGGCUCAACCCUAGAAUUGCCGUUGAAACUGGGAGGCUUGAGUACGCGUGAGGUAGGCGGAAUGCGUGGUGUAGCGGUGAAAUGCGUAGAUAUCAGGCGGAACACCGGUGGCGAAGGCGGCCUGCUGGACUGCAACUGACGUUGAGGCCCGAAAGCGUGGGGAGCAAACAGGAUUAGAUACCCGGGUAGUC
rnacentral:rRNA from 1 species